AAAUUAUCUAAGCAUGCGUUGGAAUAGAAUUCUUAUAUCCGAAAUUUUGACGAGAACUCAGCAAAAUUUAAAAACAAAUAAAGUGAAUUAGCUACUCGGAUUUAAAUCAAAACUCAGUUUAAAGACCAAGUUACUAUUAUUCAAAACUAUCCUAAAACCUGUAUGGACAUAUGGUGUGCAGUUAUGAAACACAGCAAGCAAUUGAAAUCUGGAGAUACUUCAACGGUAUCAAUCAAGGUUGUUAAGAGAAAUUGCAAAAGCGCCUUGGUAUGUAUCCAAUAAAAUGUCACAUCAAGAUUUAAACAUCCCAACCGUCAAAGAAGAAAUUAUCAAAUUCAGUUGCAAUAAUCUUUAAAGAUUAGAUAACCUAAACCACUUUGCAAUAAAUCUACUAGAUAAUUCUGAAGAUGUGUAAAAACUCAAUCGAUCUGCUAUCCUGGAACUACCUUUUAGGUUUUGAAUUAAUUACGUUAGUGCUAACAAUGGUUAUCAUAUCACUCAAUUUUAAUUGUUAAUGGUGUUCCUUUAUACUUAUCGUUCUUCUAAAAUUGAACAGUUUGUAAAUAAAUACAAGUUUGUUAAAGAAAAAGAAGUAAUUUUUAAAGUGCUUAUCGACGUACUGUCACUCUUUAGUCAUCCUUAUGUAAAUUGUACAUGAGACAGAAUUUUGUUGUUCAAGUUUGUAAACACAUUUUUAACAUGGUUGAUGUCUUAAAGCCUAAAGUAGUCUUUGUUUUGGGAAGGCCCGGUGCUGGUAAAGGAACUCAAUGUGCUAAUAUUGCCAAAGAGUUUGGAUUUGUGCAUAUAUCAGCCGGUGAUUUAUUACGUGAAGAAAGAAGUAAACCUGGUAAAUUAGGUGAACUGAUAGAUGAGUAUUUCAGAAAUGGUACGAUUGUUCCUGUGGAAAUCACCUGUAAGUUAAUCGAGACAGCAAUGCAAAACUCUGGAAAACAAAAAUUUGUAAUUGAUGGUUUUCCCAUAGAUAAAGACAAUCUAGAGGGAUGGAAUAAGGUUAUGGCUGAAAAAGUAGAACUUCUAUUUGUGUUGUUCUUUGAUUGUCCUGAAGAUAUCUGUGUCCAGAGGUGCUUAAAACGAGGGGUACACGGAAGUGGCAGAACAGACGACAAUGAAGAAAGCCUUAAGAAGAGGAUGCAAACGUAUUUGAAUGUUUCUAUGCCGAUCAUUGAGCACUUCAACAAAAAAGAAUUGGUACAUCGAAUUAACGCAGACCAAGAACCUAAAGAAGUAUUUGGAGAUAUAAAGGUUAUAUUUCAAAAUAUUCCCUGAAAAUAAAAAAGGUUAAAUUGUAGAGUAGACCUAUUUAGGUCUAGAAGUUGCAUGUUUAUUGAAUGUACUACUGAACCAAUCCUGUCCAGAAAGUAAUUUGAAGCUGGAGGGGUGAUGGGGAAGGGGAAGGGAAUUUUCCAUUGGCUUGUGCCUGACAUCUGGAGUCUGCUGGUCACUUGAGCCAAACACUUCAUUGUUGUUGGUGUUGCUGGUGUGUGCUGCCACAUGCUUCGAGCAUCCUCUAACUGCCUUGGCUAUCUGUUCUGCCAGCCAAUCCUUGCCUCGGCUAUUACAGUGCAUGCCUUGAUGUGUAUGCAGGGACCUUUGAGUUUUACUUAACUCGACAAGUAUAACGUUGUCAAGCUGCUCACUCAGUUGUUUAAAUUGAGCAUUUAUUCAUGUCACCUCUUUGUUCAAACAGGACCACUCAACAAGGUCUUUUUUAACUGGAAGUUCUACUAUAACAACCUUAUAAUUAGGCUUUUUUCCAACACUGACUUAAUACUUAUGAUGGCCUUUUGAGCGUCAUUAGUAGCAACAUCGUUGGUCCCGCUAAUAAUCACUAAUAUACUGUAUCUUCACAGCUAAGUUUUUCUUCCUGAACGUUAUACAUGUCCAAUAUUUCUUUUGUACAUCCUCCAGGUCUAAUAAAACUCACACAAAAAGUCCCUACCAUGGCUAUCAGUACAUAAUAAAAUCCUUUUAUAUUUAUCCUUCUCUUGUAGUGUUUCAAUUUUCUUGUUUUCCGGUAUAUUUUUCCAUCAAUUCCGGUACUUGGUAUGUCUAGUUUUUUGAUAUCUUAACAGAUUUUAUAUGAACUGUGUCCAAUCAGUAUUAUACUCUAAUCCAUGAGCUAUCAGGACCUGUAGAUAAGAGUGUUCACACUAACACUGUCAAAUAAUUAUCUUCAGUUAUAUCACUCCACUGAUUAAAGUUUUUCAGGUUCAUACAACAUGGGCACUAAAUUAUAAUGCUGUUGGUUACAUGUUUUAUAAUUUAAAAAAUAGUUAACAGUAUAUACAAAUUAUUUAUUUUGAUACAAUUGCAGUUAAUUUAAUUUUAGUUCUAUUAUUUGACCACUUCAUAAAGUUAAUAAUUUAUAGGUUAUAAAAGUUUGUCCUAUUGAAAAGAAAGUAUGUAAAUGUAAAAGUCCCUUGUUACAAAUAAAGUUGGUAUUCUUACCGACCCAUUUUUUUUCAUAGAAAUACUGAAACCAGAUUUAACACUUAACUAUCCAUAAAACUCUCAAAAUCACACUGUAUGAGUGUGAGCUGUAAAUUACACAAUGUAAUACUGCCUUCAUAUACUGUGUUAUAUUGUGUAAUUAUAUUUUUAGAAGCUUCUUUCUUAUUAUAAUUCGUUAAUUAAUU
rnacentral:misc_RNA from 1 species